rnacentral:lncRNA from 1 species
CUGGUGUUUCCCUUUCUUCAUGUCCAGCGGAAAGACUGAUGAGUGAAACCAAGGAAAUGCUGUUCCUUAGGAGCACCUGCAAACUGCCCCUGAAUGAGAGGUUCGCUAAGGUGCUGCAGAACCGGAACACCACAACCAGGAAGUCCAGAGUCCAGCUGCGGAACCAGGUGCAGCGCCGUCCCAGCGUUUGGUUGAGGCUCGGUUGGAGGCCCUGCCUGGCUCCCCGGGGUUUCUGGAGCUUCAGGAAGAAGUACAGGUGGAGGGCUCGCUGCAGGGCUGCCUACAAGAGACAAAGGCGGCAGCAGCUGAAGCAGUGGGGCGGGGCCCAGUGUGUGAGGGGGCGGAGCCUGAGGAGUUUGUUGGACGCGGAGCUGGACGACUACAUGUCCCUGAGUAAGAGACGACUGGACCAACAGUUGGACGACUACAUGUCUAUGAGUAAGAGUCAGUUAGACAGAGAGCUGGACGACUACAUGGCCAUGGCAGGACACCACACCCAGUGGGACUGAGCUUUUAUUUUGAAGGAGCUGGUAAAGAUUGGUGCAGAGUGGUCACGUGACCCAGAUUUUCUGUUCAGUUGUGUUCACUGACUCCUGUGUGUGUAGGAAAUCAGAGUGUUAAGUUCAGCAGGAUAAGUUUUAUAAUAAAUACCAGCAGCCAAUCA